rnacentral:rRNA from 1 species
UACGUAGGGUGCAAGCGUUGUCCGGAAUUACUGGGUGUAAAGGGUCCGCAGGCGGGUAAGCAAGUCGGUGGUGAAAUCCUGCAGCUUAACUGCAGAACCGCCUCCGAUACUGUUUAUCUUGAGUGCGAGAGAGGAUGAUGGAAUUCAUGGUGUAGCGGUGAAAUGCGUAGAGAUCAUGAAGAACACCGGUUGCGAAGGCGAUCAUCUGGAUCGUUACUGACGCUCAGGGACGAAAGCGUGGGGAGCAAACAGG